UACGGAGGAUCCGAGCGUUAUCCGGAUUUAUUGGGUUUAAAGGGUGCGUAGGCGGCUUUUUAAGUCAGCGGUGAAAUUUUGCAGCUUAACUGUAACAGUGCCGUUGAUACUGGGGAGCUAGGAUUUGGUUGCUGUGGGUGGAAUGUGUGGUGUAGCGGUGAAAUGCAUAGAUAUCACGAGGAACUCCGAUUGCGCAGGCAGCUUACUAAACUACUACUGACGCUCAGGCACGAAGGCGUGGGGAUCAAACAGGAUUAGAUAG
rnacentral:rRNA from 1 species